rnacentral:rRNA from 1 species
GACGUAGGGCGCGAGCGUUUGUCCGGAUUUAUUGGGCGUAAAGAGCUCGUAGGCGGCUUGUCGCGUCGGUCCGUGAAAACCUGGGGCUCAACUCCAGGCUUGCGGUCGAUACGGGCAGGCUCGAGUUCGGUAGGGGAGACUGGCAAUUCCUGGUGUAGCGGUGAAAUGCGCAGAUAUCAGGAAGGACACCUAUGGCGAAGGCAGCACUCUGGGACGGUACUGACGCUGAGACGCGAAAGCGUGGGGAGCGAACAGG